rnacentral:tRNA from 7 species
GGCGAGGUAGCUCAGUUGGUGAGAGCGCACGACUCAUAAUCGUGAGGUCGCGGGUUCGAAUCCCGCUCUCGCUA